rnacentral:rRNA from 1 species
GGUUCGGGAGGCAGAAGUGGGGAAUAUUGCACAAUGGGGGCAAGGCUGAUGCAGCGACGCCGCGUGAGGGAUGACGGCCUUCGGGUUGUAAAGCUCUUUCAGUAGGGAAGAAGCGAAAGUGACGGUUCCUGCACAAGAAGCGCCGGCUAACUACGUGGCAGCUGGCCCGGUAAUACGUAGGGCGCAAGCGUUAUCCGGAAUUUUUGGCCGUAAAGAGCUC